ACAUGCCUACAACAUAGCGUUAAUGCAUCAGAUUCCAUUAGAACUCCACAGUUAAGCGCGCUUAGGCUAGAGUAGUACUAGGAUGGUGACCACCCGAGAAGUCCUAGUGUUUUACAUGCC
rnacentral:rRNA from 1 species